rnacentral:pre_miRNA from 1 species
UCCUAUGGAUAGGCAAAGAAAGUGAUUUCUUGAAAAGGAAUCUACUCCUGGUGAAGACGCAUUGAA